AUGUCAUGGAGCUUUCCUCUUAUGUCUUCUUUUAGUAGUUUGAUAAUUUUGGAUUUUACAUAUUUUACAUUUAAGUUUUUACUUCCUUUGGGGUUGGUUUUUGUACAUGGUGAAAGAUGGUUCAAGUUUCAUCCUUUUGCAUGUGGAUAUCCAGGUUUUCCAACAAUGGAUACUGAAGAGACUUUCCAUUCCUCUCUGUGUGUUCUUGAUGUCUUUGUGGAACUUCUGUUGGCUGAAAAUGCAGAGAUUUAUUUCUGGGCUAUUAUUUUCCAUGGAGCUGUGUGUUUGUUUUUAAUGGCAGUACUAAGCCCUUUUAGUAACUAUAGCUUUGUGAUAUAAUAGUAAAUUAGUGUGAAUACUCUCAGCUUUUUUGUUUGUUGGUUUGUUUUGUUUCACAUAUUGCUUUGGGUAUUUUGAGUCUUUGGGGUUCCAUAUCAAUUUAAGGGUUGCUUUUUUGAAAAUUUCUGUGAAGGAUGCUGUUAUUUUUGACAGGGAUUGAAUUGAAUUUCUAGAUCAGUUUGGAUAGUAUGGACGUUUUAGCAAUAUUAAUUCUUCUGGUCUGUGAGGACAAGGUGUCUUAAAAUUUGUUUGUGUGUUCUUCAGUUUACUUCAUCAUUAUUGGUAUAGUUUGCAGUGUAGUUUUUUUUUACCUCUUUAAAUUUAUUGCUAGAGAUUUUUUCAGCUGUUACAAAUGAAGUUUUUAUUUUAUUUUUUUCAGAUAAUUUUCUACUAAUGUAUACAAACACCACUGAUUUUUAUAUUGAUUUUGUAUCCUGCAAAUUUACUGAAUUUGUUAGUUCUAACACCAUUUUUACGGAGGCCUUAGCAUCCUCUUAAAAAAGAAGUGUUUUCUUUAAGACUUUUUUAUAAAUCUUCAAACAGGGAUAACAUAACUUUUUCUUUUCCAAUUUGAAUGCUUUUUUAAUUUCUUUUCCUGCCUCAUUGCUCUGGCUGGGACCUCCGGCACUGUGUUAGUUGACAGUGGCAAAACAGGGCAUUAUUUUUGAGUUUACAAUAUGGACCUCUUGAAUGACCAGAGGCAGCAUGUUCUAAGACACAGUUGUCUUCUUAUGUAUGUUUUGCUCAGUUUGCCUCUCGUCAUCGUAUCCUACUCCCUACUCACUCUGGCAAAUCUCUGACCCAACAGGAGUAUGCGACCAGUGGUUGGAACCUGAAUGUGAUGCCAGUGCUAGCUCAGUCUGUUCUCUGUCACAUCAAUGCAGACAUCUCAGGCAUGAAGGUGCCCUGGCUGUAUGUGGGCAUGGUUUUCUCAGCAUUUUGUUGGCAUAUUGAGGAUCACUGGAGUUACUCUAUUAACUAUCUGCAUUGGGGUGAGCCGAAGACCUGGUAUGGUGUACCCUCCCUGGCAGCAGAGCAUUUGGAGGAGGUGAUGAAGAUGCUGACACCUGAGCUGUUUGAUAGCCAGCCUGAUCUCCUACACCAGCUUGUCACUCUCAUGAAUCCCAACACUUUGAUGUCCCAUGGUGUGCCAGUUGUCCGCACAAACCAGUGUGCAGGGGAAUUUGUCAUCACUUUUCCUCGUGCUUACCACAGUGGUUUUAACCAAGGCUACAAUUUUGCUGAAGCUGUCAACUUUUGUACUGCUGACUGGCUACCUGCUGGACGCCAGUGCAUUGAACACUACCGCCGGCUCCGGCGCUAUUGUGUCUUCUCCCACGAGGAGCUCAUCUGCAAGAUGGCUGCCUUCCCAGAGACGUUGGAUCUCAAUCUAGCAGUAGCUGUGCACAAGGAGAUGUUCAUUAUGGUUCAGGAGGAGCGACGUCUACGAAAGGCCCUUUUGGAGAAGCUGUCCUUACAAGGUUGAGUCCACAUCAGGGCUCAGUGUUGGCUGAGGUGGGGUGUCCACAACCCUACUCCUAGUCUUUACAGUAUAUGUGGGUUGAACACCCCCAGGGCGUCACGGAGGCUGAGCGAGAGGCUUUUGAGCUGCUCCCAGAUGAUGAACGCCAGUGCAUCAAGUGCAAGACCACGUGCUUCUUGUCAGCCCUGGCCUGCUACGACUGCCCAGAUGGCCUUGUAUGCCUUUCCCACAUCAAUGACCUCUGCAAGUGCUCUAGUAGCCGACAGUACCUACGGUAUCGGUACACCUUGGAUGAGCUCCCCACCAUGCUGCAUAAACUGAAGAUUCGGGCUGAGUCUUUUGACACCUGGGCCAACAAAGUGCGAGUGGCCUUGGAGGUGGAGGAUGGCCGUAAGCGCAGCUUUGAAGAGCUAAGGGCACUGGAGUCUGAGGCUCGUGAGAGGAGGUUUCCUAAUAGUGAGCUGCUUCAGCGACUGAAGAACUGCCUGAGUGAGGUGGAGGCUUGUAUUGCUCAAGUCCUGGGGCUGGUCAGUGGUCAGGUGGCCAGGAUGGACACUCCACAGCUGACCUUGACUGAACUCCGGGUCCUUCUUGAGCAGAUGGGCAGCCUGCCCUGUGCCAUGCAUCAGAUUGGGGAUGUCAAGGAUGUCCUGGAACAGGUGGAGGCCUAUCAAGCUGAGGCUCGUGAGGCUCUGGCCACACUGCCCUCUAGUCCAGGGCUAUUGCGGUCCCUGUUGGAGAGGGGGCAGCAGCUGGGUGUAGAGGUGCCUGAAGCCCAUCAGCUUCAGCAGCAGGUGGAGCAGGCGCAAUGGCUAGAUGAAGUGAAGCAGGCCCUGGCCCCUUCUGCUCACAGGGGCUCUCUGGUCAUCAUGCAGGGGCUUUUGGUUAUGGGUGCCAAGAUAGCCUCCAGCCCUUCUGUGGACAAGGCCCGGGCUGAGCUGCAAGAACUACUGACCAUUGCAGAGCGCUGGGAAGAAAAGGCUCAUUUCUGCCUGGAGGCCAGGCAGAAGCAUCCACCAGCCACACUGGAAGCCAUAAUUCGUGAGACAGAAAACAUCCCUGUUCACCUGCCUAACAUCCAGGCUCUCAAAGAAGCUCUGACUAAGGCACAAGCUUGGAUUGCUGAUGUGGAUGAGAUCCAAAAUGGUGACCACUACCCCUGUCUGGAUGACUUGGAGGGCCUGGUGGCUGUGGGCCGGGACCUGCCUGUGGGGCUGGAGGAGCUGAGACAGCUAGAACUGCAGGUAUUGACAGCACAUUCCUGGAGAGAGAAGGCCUCCAAGACCUUUCUCAAGAAGAAUUCUUGCUACACACUGCUUGAGGUGCUUUGCCCGUGUGCAGACGCUGGCUCAGACAGCACCAAGCGUAGCCGGUGGAUGGAGAAGGCGCUGGGGUUGUACCAGUGUGACACAGAGCUGCUGGGGCUGUCUGCACAGGACCUCAGAGACCCAGGCUCUCUGAUUGUGGCCUUCAAGGAAGGGGAACAGAAGGAGAAGGAGGGUAUCCUGCAGCUGCGUCGCACCAACUCAGCCAAGCCCAGUCCACUGGCACCAUCCCUCAUGGCCUCUUCUCCGACUUCUAUCUGUGUGUGUGGGCAGGUGCCAGCUGGGGUGGGAGCUCUGCAGUGUGACCUGUGUCAGGACUGGUUCCAUGGGCAGUGUGUGUCAGUGCCCCAUCUCCUCACCUCUCCAAAGCCCAGUCUCACUUCAUCUCCACUGCUAGCCUGGUGGGAAUGGGACACAAAAUUCCUGUGUCCACUGUGUAUGCGCUCACGACGGCCACGCCUAGAGACAAUCCUAGCCUUGCUGGUUGCCCUGCAGAGGCUGCCCGUGCGGCUGCCUGAGGGUGAGGCCCUUCAGUGUCUCACAGAGAGGGCCAUUGGCUGGCAAGACCGUGCCAGAAAGGCUCUGGCCUCUGAAGAUGUGACUGCUCUGUUGCGACACCUGGCUGAGCUUCGCCAACAGCUACAGGCCAAACCCAGACCGGUCUACACUUCAGCCACUGCCUGUGACCCUAUCAGAGAAGGCAGUGGCAACAAUAUUUCUAAGGUCCAAGGGCUGCUGGAGAAUGGAGACAGUGUGAUCAGUCCUGAGAACAUGGCUCCAGGAAAGGGCUCUGGUAAGACAGGUGUGGUUUGGGUAGGCUGUUGGCUAAACAUAACUGAGUGACCCAUGUAUUUGUCACCUCUGUUGUGGCCAUGGAGGAUAAGACCAAGAGUGGCCUCUAACCCAGUCUGUCCCUGCACCCUUCACUGCACCACCUUCCGCCCAGACCUGGAGCUACUGUCCUCACUGUUGCCGCAGUUGACUGGCCCUGUGUUGGAGCUGCCUGAGGCAAUCCGGGCUCCCCUGGAGGAGCUCAUGAUGGAAGGGGACCUGCUUGAGGUGACCCUGGAUGAGAACCACAGCAUCUGGCAGCUGCUGCAGGCUGGACAGCCUCCAGACCUGGACAGAAUUCGCACACUUCUGGAGCUGGAAAAAUUUGAACAUCAAGGGAGUCGGACAAGGAGCCGGGCUCUGGAGAGGCGACGGCGGCAGCAGAAGGUGGAUCAGGGUAGAAACGUUGAGAAUCUUGUUCAACAGGAGCUUCAGUCAAAAAGGGCUCGGAGCUCAGGGAUUAUGUCUCAGGUGGGCCGAGAAGAAGAACAUUAUCAGGAGAAAGCAGACCGUGAAAAUAUGUUCCUGACACCUUCCACAGACCACAGCCCUUCCUUGAAAGGAAACCAAAAUAGCUUACAACACAAGGAUUCAGGCUCUUCAGCUGCUUGUCCUUCUUUAAUGCCUUGGCUACAACUCUCCUACUCUGAUGAGCAACAGUUGUGACAGUGGCACCAAAGGUCAUUUGUGGUUGUUUUUGUUUGUUUGUUUCUUAAAUCCUACUAUCUCCUGGCCUGGACCUCAGAAGGAGCUUAUUGCCUAUCUAUAAUUUUUCACUGCCAAUUUUUGAUAUCCUCUCUCCUAGAGUUACUGUUAAAAGGUUGGUUCUUAAAAGUCCACACUCCAAUGCUCAGAAGUGUCUUGCCAGCAACAUUCCUGCUAGCAUACAGGAGUGAUUUCCUAAACCAGUUUCAUUCUAGUCUGAAUAGGGACAAACAAAUCUUGAGGAAGCCCAAGUGCGUACCUUUAUUUUUGCCCCCACCACCCUCUUUCUGUACUUCAAUUUUUGUUUGUUUUUUGUUUUUUUGUCCCUGUCAUAAAAUAUUUUGGUGCUUCAAAACUUGUACCUUCAUUGUACAUCCUUUUCUUUUCUCCCCUUGGGUCUUAUUAUAAAAGAAGACAAUGUACGUUGUAAUUACUUGUAAAGACCAAAAAGAAUAGAGAAAAACAAGAAUUUCAUGACUCUACCUGUGGUCUAUCUUUAAUUUCAUUUCUUUUGUUAAAAAUAAAACAAUGAGUAUGUUUGG
rnacentral:sRNA from 1 species